rnacentral:misc_RNA from 1 species
AGCUGCUGCUUGUGCAGCUGCAACAGCAGCUUCUGCAGCCGCAGCAGUUGCCAUUGCAACUGCAAUUGCAUGAUUUCUAUCUUCAGUCACUGGACUGGAUGCAGUGCUCUCUUCAAUAGUGACAUCUGGGGAACUCUCCGCUGGAAAAUGUUCAAGUGACACGGCCUCCGGAGCCACAUGUUGCCACUUCUCUACAUUUUCUUUCUAAAAAUACAUACAUCAUCAUUUCCAUCAUCAAUUUCAUAAUUAUUAUUAUAAGAGGAAUGCUUUAUGGAAUAUAAUCCAUUCGUCCAAUAAACAUAAGUGCAUUCAAGUAAAAUCCUACUACUAACUAGCAGGAUAAUUUUCAAGAAUAGUUCCUAAAUUUUGAGUUGUAAUAAAAAUGUUCUUAAACUUAAGAAUUUAAUCUAAAAUUUUCUGAAUUUUAAAAUUUUAUAUACUAAAAUUUUUUUAACUCUUAAUAGUUGGUUUAUAAGUUAUAUGCUAAUGUGGAUAAUUUAGUAUGGUGAUUAUGUAGAUAAUUACUAUUAUUUUUCAAAAUUAAGGUCUCUUUAAUUAACUAUUAUACAGCUAGCACUUCACUAUCCCAUACAACUGAGAUUCUUUCAUGAUUGAUCUGUGAAUGUGAAAAAAAUCAUAGCUGGUUUGGCUACUGUAACAUAGAGAAGAGAGAAUUAUCUAUGUCAUUGUCACUCUAAAUUGUAUAAACUAACUAUUAAGAAUUAAAAAAAAUUAUUAUAUAAAAUUUUAAAAUUUAAAUAUUUUAUAUUAUAUUUUUAAAUUAAAAAAUAAUUAUAUUAUAACCGCUAAAGUUUAAGAAAAACUAUUAAAAUUUAUCCCUAAUUAGCAUUGAUUGGGAGGUUCUGCCUCAAGUUGUGGAGAGGGAAAAAAAAUUUUGGGCAUGAUAGGGAUCCAACAAAAAAGGCAUAUGUGUUGAUGAAGAUAGAUAAUGUGAUAUUAUUGGUGGCAUGAAAAUAAUAUGUCAUGGGAAAAAGUGUACAUGGUUUGAGCGUCACGUUCAUUGGGGACCAAAUGUGGCCCUAGUUAUUCCAUGGUCCUAAAUACAGUGAGUGGGUAGCUCAUCUUUAAUGGGGCCCUGUAAGCCCAACAGUCCAACACAUAUCCUUAUAAUAAUUAAUCACCACCAGCGCUAACAACCUGAAACUCAAGAAAGGGAGAGAGAAAUUCACGUGUGGUCGCUGUACUGAUAUAUAUAUAUAUAUAUAUCUUAGAGAUUGCAUUGGAGUAAAGCUAGCCAGCCAGACUAGACACCUUAAAUCAUUUAAUGUUUGAUCAUAUAAAAACUGUGAUUUUCACCAAAAACUAAUUCUGAUUAGUCUUUCAUCAUCGAUUGUCUAGAAUUAUAUGAGAUUCCUUUGAAUGCGUAAGAUGGAAAAUUAAAAAUUGACAUGCAAAUGCGGAUCAAUAUUUGGAUGGAUAAACAACAAAAUUAAGAUGCAUCGCGAAACUUGUAUGUAACAAUGUCAUUCCUGUCAAGUUCAUAUAUACUUUAUCAGGUGCACCUCGAAAA